GACAUUUUCAGGAUAAAAUGGAUUUCAGUUCAAGGAAUAAUAUUCAAGGUUGGGUGUGUUUUGUGGAUUGGUCAUGAUGAUGAAGAAACUCCAUGCUUUGUGGUCCUGAAGGAGAUAUGCAUAAUUGAGAGGAACUUGGAGAAGAUAUUGUUCAUUACUGACAUACUGUGCAUAGUGUUAUUUAAUGGCCAUUUAAAUGCAUAUGAGGUGAACAACACAGCAAGGUCAAAGAUAAUUGAACAAAAACAGCUACUAUAUCCUUUCCCACUACAUUUAGUCAAUGCUGUAUUUCAAGGAUAUGCCAAAAUGUUUGUGUGCCCAAAAUAUCAAAUGCCAGUUACAUAAACAUCAAGAUUAAUUAAUAAUCAAUAUACUUCUAGCAAAUCUGAGUAUAACAGCGUACAUCAGUGCUGUAAAUGCAAGAUAUUUUGGAGCGAUUAUUAUUUAUACGCAACACUGAACACUAUAAAGUUUUUAUAUAAAAGCAACACUAGAAUAUGUUUUUAUAAAAAUACAAACAAUAAACAUAAUAUACUGUUACUAUCAAUACUUACAUCCAAUUUACUUCUUUUGUUAUGUACGAUCAAAAUAUCUUUCGUAUCAAUGCAUAGUAGACUUCCUGGGCCACCAAUGUUGUUGUCUCAUUCCUUGCUCAGUGCAUUCCUCGAAUCCGCCAUUUUGUUUUUUUUCUUGCUACCUCAUCCAUGGGAGGUAAUAUCUACCCCUAUAUGAUCCCCCCGCCAUGUUACCCUUUAAUUAAUAUAUGUACCCCUGCCCCUGUAUAUUUAUCUGUUUAAAUUUUACCCUAAAUACAGGAGCAGCAAUGCGUGUUAAACAAAACUAUAAUUGAGAUUGCAUUAGGAAAGUAAAGCUUCUGGAUAUAAAUAAACUGAUGGUUGCCCUGAAAAAUUACGCGGUAUUAAUUAAAACUGUAGGCGGUGAAUUUGCAAGUAGCUCAUGCUUUAGCGCCAUACAUUUG